UGCCGGUCCUCCCUAACAGGAGGCCAAGAGGGAACGCCGUGAUGUCCGCAGAGGGCAAAUCGGCGGCUGUACCCGCAGCUGUGAGCGGUUAGCGACUGUCCAACAAGCCACUGAACUCCGGUUCGGGAAGGCGGGCAGGCGCAGCGAUCCGCGAGCCAGAAGACCUGCCGGCGAU
rnacentral:ncRNA from 1 species